AUUGAACGCUAGCGGCAUGCUUAACACAUGCAAGUCGAACGGUAACAGGCCUAGCUUGCUAGGUGCUGACGAGUGGCGAACGGGUGAGUAACGCGUAGGAAUCUACCUCGUAGUGGGGACAACCCGAGGAAACUCGGGCUAAUACCACAUAAUCUCUACGGAGACAAAGGGGGCCUCUAUUUAUAAGCUCUCGCUAUGAGAAGAGCCUGCGUCAGAUUAGUCNGUUGGUGGGGUAAAGGCCUACCAAGGCAACGAUCUGUAGCUGGUCUGAGAGGACGAUCAGCCAC
rnacentral:rRNA from 1 species